UACGUAGGGGGCAAGCGUUGUCCGGAAUCAUUGGGCGUAAAGCGCGCGUAGGCGGCCCGGUAAGUCCGCUGUAAAAGUCCAGGGCUCAACCCUGGAAAGCCGGUGGAUACUGUCGGGCUCGAAUCCGGAAGAGGUGAGUGGAAUUCCUGGUGUAGCGGUGAAAUGCGCAGAUAUUCGGAAGAACACCAGUGGCGAAGGCGAACUCACUGGACAGGUAUUGACGCUGAGGUGCGAAAGCAUGGG
rnacentral:rRNA from 1 species